GAAGAUCGUGGCAAAGCGGAGACGUGAAAUGAGAUGGUGCGUCGCUCCCUGGGACUCCGUAGCCAACCGUCUGUCACUUUUAUCGCGGCUCGUUUCUCUGACUUUUACCGCGGAAUGGGGGCGAGUGGACUUGUCUUUUCGCACACUUGCACGGCGUGAGUGUGUCGCGUAAUGCCGCCGAGAAGAGCCGCUUGUUGGAGGGAAAUAUUUAUGGUUCGGGACGUUUUUAUUGGAGUGGCUAGUUGCUAGCGCGGAGCUAGCGACUGUGCUCGCUACUUGGACCGUGUGUUCUUGUCAGGAUGCUUCGGAGGAUACGACAGCAGCUGGGCUUUGACCCUCCUCAUCAGAGCGAGACCAGAACGGUUUAUGUGGCAAACCGUUUCCCUCAGAAUGGCCACUACAUCCCACCACGCUUUACAGACAACCGAAUCAUUUCAUCCAAGUACACAAUUUGGAAUUUUGUCCCAAAGAAUCUGUUUGAGCAGUUCAGAAGGAUUGCCAACUUCUAUUUUCUCAUCAUCUUCCUUGUCCAGUUAAUGAUAGAUACCCCCACUUCCCCAGUCACCAGCGGUCUGCCUCUUUUCUUUGUGAUCACUGUAACUGCGAUAAAACAGGGCUAUGAGGACUGGCUGAGACACAAGGCGGACAACGAAGUGAACGGGGCUCCAGUGUUUGUGGUCCGCAGUGGAAGCCUGGUCCAAACGAGAUCUAAGAACAUCAGGGUGGGGGAUAUUGUUCGUGUGGCUAAAGAUGAAACAUUCCCUGCUGACCUGGUGUUGCUGUCUUCAGAUCGCGCAGAUGGCACCUGUCAUAUCACCACAGCCAGCCUUGAUGGAGAGACCAACCUUAAGACUCACUUCUCAGUGGCAGAGACAGCAGUUUGUCAGUCAGUGUCCCGCCUCGAGGCUCUGCAGGCUGUGGUGGAGUGUCAACAACCAGAAGCUGAUCUGUACAGGUUUGUUGGUCGGAUGACCAUGACUCAGCAUGAUGAGGAGAUCGUCAGACCACUGGGUCCAGAGAAUCUGCUGCUGCGAGGAGCCAGGUUAAAAAAUACCAAAGAGAUUUUUGGUGUGGCGGUUUACACAGGGAUGGAGUCCAAGAUGGCCCUCAACUACAAGUGCAAAUCCCAGAAACGCUCUGCUGUGGAGAAGUCCAUGAAUACCUUCCUAAUCAUCUACCUGGGUAUCUUGCUGUUUGAGGCCAUCCUCAGCACCAUCCUGAAGUAUGCCUGGCAGGCUGAGGACAAAUGGGACGAGCCCUUCUACAACCAAAAGACUGAACAAGAAAGAAACAGCAGUCCGAUCUUGAAGUUCAUCUCAGACUUCUUGGCGUUUAUGGUCCUCUAUAACUUCAUCAUCCCCAUCUCACUGUACGUUACCGUGGAGAUGCAGAAGUUCCUGGGUUCAUUUUUCAUUGGCUGGGAUUUGGACCUUUACCAUGAGGAAAGUGACCAGAAAGCGCAGGUCAACACAUCUGACCUCAACGAGGAGCUGGGGCAGGUGGAGUACGUUUUUACCGAUAAGACUGGUACACUUACGGAAAACGAGAUGCAGUUCCGUGAGUGUUCGGUUAACGGAACCAAGUAUCGGGAAGUCAACGGCAAACUGGUUCCGGAAGGAAUGACUGAAGAUUCACCAGACGGAUCUCUGCCUCACAUGAUUGGCGAUGAAUUGUUAUUUCUGAAGGCGGUGUCAUUGUGUCACACAGUUCAGAUCAGCUAUGACCAGCCUGACUGCCUGGUCUCCGGGGACGGAGACCCGUUCUCCCACGCAAACGGUUUCUCUUCCAAUCACAUGGAAUACUUUGCCUCUUCGCCAGAUGAGAAAGCUUUGGUAGAGGCAACAAAGAGAAUUGGUGUGGCCUUCACUGGCAGCAAUGGCGAAACCAUGGAAAUCAAAACAUUUGGGAAGUCAGAGAAGUAUAAACUGCUCCAUGUAUUAGAGUUUGAUGCCAACCGUAGGAGGAUGAGUGUCAUUCUACAGGAUCCUUCAGGAGGAAAAAUGCUCUUUACCAAGGGAGCAGAAUCAGCCAUUUUGCCUUUCACCACCACUGGUGAGAUAGAAAAGACAAGAUUGCACGUUGAUGAGUUUGCACUGAAAGGUUUGCGGACUCUGGUGGUAGCGUGUCGUCACUUCAGCCCAGAGGAGUACAUGGAUGUGGACAGGCGUCUGAACAGUGCCCGCACUGCACUGCAACAGAGGGAGGAGAAACUGCAGGAGGCCUUCAGCUACAUUGAGAGGAACCUGCACCUUCUGGGCGCAACGGGGGUGGAGGACAAACUCCAAGACAAAGUCCAGGAGACCAUUGAGGCUUUACGGCUGGCAGGGAUCAAAGUAUGGGUUCUGACGGGGGACAAACAUGAAACAGCUGUUAGUGUCAGCCUGUCCUGUGGCCACUUCCACAGAACCAUGAACAUCCUGGAGCUCCUGCAGCAGCGCUCUGACAACGAGUGUGCUGAGCAGCUCCGCAGACUGUCGAGAAGGAUAAAGGAGGACCAUGUCAUACAGCAUGGGUUAGUCGUGGAUGGGGCCAGUCUGUCUUUAGCAUUGAGAGAACACGAGAAGCUCUUCAUGGAAGUGUGUAAAAACUGUUCGGCUGUGUUGUGCUGCCGCAUGGCACCACUGCAGAAAGCUAAGGUGGUACGUCUUUUUAAAACGUCUCCAGAGAAACCCAUCACCCUAGCGAUAGGGGAUGGAGCCAAUGAUGUCAGUAUGAUACAGGAAGCCCACGUCGGCAUAGGUAUCAUGGGGAAGGAGGGUCGUCAGGCCGUGAGAAACAGUGACUAUGCAAUUGCCAGGUUUAAGUUCCUGGCUAAACUACUGCUUGUCCACGGUCACUUCUACUACAUUCGAAUAACUACGCUAGUACAGUACUUUUUCUAUAAGAAUGUGUGUUUUAUCACACCCCAGUUUUUAUACCAGUUUUUCUGUUUGUUUUCACAACAAACUCUGUAUGACAGUGUUUAUCUGACACUGUACAACAUCUGCUUCACCUCGCUGCCCAUACUGGUGUACAGUCUGUUUGAACAGCUGGUUCAUCCACACGUACUGCAGAAUAAACCUGGUCUGUACAGGGACAUCAGCAAGAACUCACUGCUGUCUUUUCGGACGUUUCUGUACUGGACUCUGUUGGGCUUCUGUCACGCCUUUGUCUUCUUCUUUGGAUCGUACAUACUGAUGGGAGAAGACACCACACUCAUGGGCAAUGGACAGAUCUUGCGAGCUAACAGGCAGUUGAUGUUUGGAAACUGGACAUUUGGAACGCUCGUCUUCACCGUUAUGGUCAUUACUGUCACAUUAAAGCUUGCUUUGGAGACUCAUUUCUGGACAUGGAUGAACCAUUUUGUGACAUGGGGUUCGAUUGCGUUCUACUUCAUCUUCUCUCUCUUCUAUGGAGGCAUCAUCUGGCCAUUCCUCCACACCCAGGACAUGUACUUUGUAUUUGUGCAGCUGCUGUCCAGUGGUUCAGCCUGGUUCGCCAUCAUCAUCAUUGUCAUAACCUGCCUCUUUCCUGAUGUGGUGAAGAAGGUCUUCUACAGACACCUGCAGCCCACCAGCACGCAGAAGAGUCAGAUGUAUUCCAACCGUGUGGCAAUAGGAGAUGACUUCAUCGCUCUGCAGCCUCUGUCCAGAGCCAAGAGCCAGCUGGGCAAAAUUAGUCUCUAUCAGCCCCCGCGCAGACCCUCAGCUGUGUGGAGUCCCUGUGCUGCUACCAACAUGGGCAGAGCGGCUGUUCCCGCUUGGCCCACUUCGUGGAGCAAAUGACAGGACAGUGUCCGGACGGUGUCAACCAUUGCCAGGAGUCCAGCCGCAACAACAGGUCUUGGAGUGACACGGAGAACUUCUACUCCAACGACCGCAGCAUCCUGACGCUGUCACCCAUCGAGGCCACGCACUGCUGACUCCCGGGGUGACUGACUGUAGCACACAGAGCUGGGCAGGCGUCAUAAUCGCUUCUGCCGCCAUUUUAUGAACUUCAGCUUUAACUCAGUUGCAGCUUGAUGCACUGCAGACUCAAAUGGGAAUUGUCGCAUUAUUUGAAACCAAAGGACUUGGCUGGUUUUGCUGUAGCCUGCUUUUUCUUUUUUCCUUAAUUUUUUUUUUAAUAUAGUAACGGUUAAUGCCAGGUGGAAGCUGCAACAUGAAAGGAAAAUUGAAACAUGAAGCGACAUCUGUGGACACACGGGGUCUAGAAAAGAUCCAGUCAGUGUCUCGGUAGCUGCAGUUCUCUGACUCCUGCUGCAAAACAGGACGUCCGAACUGACCUGAAAACGUUUAAGCGUUAGAAAACGGUUUUAAGAAGCCAUGUCGAGUCAGGAGUGGAACUCCUCUGAACUCUGAGGUCAGACUAGAAUAAUGACUUUGGUCAUACAACAAUUUCUCGUCCUAAGUAGUUUCCACACUUGAUUUUUUUUUUCCCUUGCAGCUGACCUUGCUGAAGCUCACUUUGAAGAUGAAUUUUCAUUAGUUAUCACACCACCACAAGCUCAAAGCUUUGCAUCCCGACGACUGUAACAGAAACCACAUCGACUUUCCUCAGCGAGGCAGUUUCACAACAGAACACCACACACGAGGAUCAUCAGUGUAGCAUACGGACAGAAGCUUAGCAGAGUCUGGAGAACAUCUCAUCUGCUGGUGAUAGAACUUCAUGUGUCAUUCAGAUUGAAAGGGAGAAAUCUGGACCCUUCCAUCACAAUCAUCUCAUUUCCUUCAAACAAUCACCUCUAUUGUUGUACCAAAGACCAAAGGAUUCAGACUGGAGUGAAAAAUGGGAAGAAAAAAAUGUUUAUUUUUGUGCCUGAUUGUACAGAAGCUUAUAUUGUUAAGAAGAUUAUUAUUAUUGUCUGUGCUGCUUUCUCGUCAUGACUGUUCAGACCUCUUGUCGCCGAGGUGCGCAGCACUGAAGGCGGUCAGAAGGGGGUCUGGUUAAAAAGCCAUACAUUUUCAAGAGGUUAUAUUAUUAUUGUGUGAGAUAAUUGAAGGUACUGUGUUACAUAGACGCUGUUUCAGCCUGUGGUUACUUUGUACUUGUUCCCCUCCAACGCCUUCUCUCAUUGGUGUCAGGGAUAUUUUUGAGGUCAUAAAAGAAGUCCUAAUUAUAUUUUAAAGAAUAAAAACACAUCUGUUUAAACAAAAGUAGAGAUAGAGGUGACCUAGCUGAUGAGGGCACCAUUUUAUUCUCACAAAGACAGAAAUGGGUUUAAUGCUGAGAUACUUUUCCAUUUCACGGCUGAGACACGUUGACCCAGACGGCAGAAUGUCUCUAUCUACGAUACGGAGAUAGAUUUCUCAGAGAUAAAGAGAAAAAGCAGAAUGUUGCACAAGUCACACAUAUCGAGAUCAACUCAUCCUUUUUUGUUUUUUGCUUCUCAAAUCUCUGCUCGUCUUUCGCCAUAUCAUAAUAUCUCAUGGUUUGUUUUUGUUUCUUUAAAUGUUUUAAGUUGUUGCCCUGUGUGUUUCAGCGUGUGUGUGUGUGUGUGUACGUAGGCAUGUAGGCGUGACAGCCAUGUUGUGUUUGGAGGAAGUUUGGUACUUAGUUAUAAGGUGCGGUGUUUCUCUAUGACGUGUGUUUGUGUGUGAGCUCUCCAUUCUUCCACAAAAGUCUUAAAAAGUGUUUCAAAAAAUAGGAAAAACAUCAGGUCAGGUGUCACACGGGAACCGUUAAAGACAACCGUUUUAAACUUGACAUCCGGACAAACACACGGGAAACACUUCUGUUACACUAGGAUUUUGUUUUCUUUUGAAGUUCAGUUGUAUGUAAACCAUUUGAAAUUUUGAGUCGUUUUUUUUGUUCUUGUUUAUAUUUCAGUACGGUACAUGUUGUUGAAUCUGUUCACACAGACAAUGAUGUCUAUUUAUUAUUGCUGUAUGUCCCUUUUUCCUGUGUUCCACCCUUUCUUGCAUAUCGAUAUAUCUGUGGGUGCUGUAGCUGGAAAAUAACGCAGCAACUCCGUGAGAUGUUUCUGCUUGAUCUCGGUCCGUCUUCAGAACGCAUGUCUAAACUCUGUAUGUUUGACUUUGGAAGGCGUCGUGCGACGUCCGCGCCGACUGUGCCGUCUGUCGCUUUUCCGGGUUUUCCCGACAUUUACUCAGAAAAGUAACUUUUCAUUUUAACCAUUUAAACCUCAUGUUUGAUAUUAAAUGUCUACUUCAUGCACCCUUUUGUUAUCUGGACAUGUUUGUGCUUUGUCAUCUUUAGGAACCACUUGAGCAGCCUGUAAAGUUGGUGAUGUCAUCUGGACUGAAAUAAUGUUUUAGGGCUGCAACUAAUGAGUAUUAUUAUUAUUGUUGUCCCGAUUCAUCAAGUAGUCGUUUGGUCCGUGAAAAAAUGUCAGAAACUGUUGAAAAAUGUUGAUGAUAUUUGUCCACAAACCAAACUAAUUCAGCUGUAUUGAUUUUUUUGGUUCCGUGGAGCAAAGAGAACAGAAAAUAUUCACAUUUAAGAAGCUGGAAAAUCAUAGAGACUUGUUUUAAUUAUUAAAGAAAACGCUCAAAAUAAUCCUUGCAGCCCUAAAAUGUCUUGUUUUUUUAAAAAAACGAAAGGUGAGAAGAUGCAUUAUGGGAAAUGUAGGAUUCAGCAUUAUUUGUGGGGGGAAAAACAAUUAAAUGAAUAAAUACAGGAGAGUCCAACUACACAGGUGAAAAAGGCUGAUUCUUAUAAUUCCCAUAAUGAACAAAUGCCAGUAUCUUUUAACAGCUCCACACCAGGUUCAUAUUCCUUUAGUACAAUCUGAAAAUAAUUUAUUGACGGCUGUGACUGUUUCCCCGCACUUCAUUCAGUUUUUCUCUGUUUGCAACGACUUCAUCGUAAGAGGAAAAAACUAUAAUUCUUGUUUUCCACCUCCAGUGGAGAUUUUGUCAGGGGUGAAAAAUGUCCUCGCUUCAGCUUCAGUGGGAGGAAAAGUGACAAACAGUAUUUUUGUUUUUUGCAGUGCAAUCUCUUAAUGGUCAGUGUGUGUGUGGAGUCGAGGAGAGAGAUACUUACAGUGGCAGUGAAAUACUGCUUCACUCUACACACAGUACAGCUACCUGGCAGAAUUGUUAUCCUAAUGUUGUUCAAAUAACCAGUAACUUAAUUUUAGUCCUUUUAGUAAGCUGUAAUUAGCAAUGAAUCUACUUAAAACACCUUAAACAAUACUUAAAAACAAAUAAGUCCAUACAAGUUUUAUUGAAAGCAUAA